rnacentral:lncRNA from 1 species
UAAAUUAUUUAUUUUUGAUAAUAAAUAAUCUUAUUAAAAUUUAAAUAACAAUAACAAUAAUCAUUUACCAAAACAAAUUUAUGCUAAGGGUAUUCUGGUCAUUUUAGUUUUCUCCAUUAUGCUAUUACACCUCUAUUACAUUCAACCAAACACAGUUUUACUAUUACGCCUCUAUUCCAUUACAUUCAACCAAACAGUUGAUUUGCUAUUACACCUCUAUUCCAUUACACCUCUAAUCCAAUACACCUCUAAUCCAAUACAGCGAACCAAACGUGCUCUUAGUAUUAUUGUUUCUUAUUUGCUUUUAUUUGGUGUUCUGUGUUUCGGUAUCGAUGAAAAAUCUACCAAUAUGAUUUCGAAGUAUCGAUGAGUAUUACUUUAUACUCUUAUAAAGUUAAAUCGAAAUACAAAAGAUUAAAAACCUAAUAUAUUUCGAUUUUCCGAAAAGGAACUAUAAUUUAUCAGUCAAUACUUGGUUCUUUAUAAAACUAAAUUAUAAAAAUAGAGGAACCAUCAGAAACCAAAAAUUAUCCCCAGUAGCAAAAUAGCUAUACGGUCCGCAUCAUGGUUCAAUCUUCUCUUCAAAGAAGAUCGCAUCAUUUGGUUCCUUUAUUUCAAUUUUCCUUUUAACCUUUGGAACUGAAAAACGAAGAUAAUCAAACACUGGUAAAAAAUUCCUUCGUAAAAAAUAUAGAAUGAAAAAGAGCUCAGAAAAAAACUAUGGGUAGAGAGACUUAUCAGCACAAAUUAAAAUCAGCGUGGUGCAUGACUUUCUCUAAUUUUCUCAUCAUCGCCCAAAUUAUACGAUAAGAAAUGAAAUUUGAAACAAAGUUAAUAACAAAAUAAAGAAAUAAAGAACCUGCAGACUAACCUGAGCGAUCCCAUGUAAGUAGCAAGGAAGCUCUUGGCGGAGGCACUUUGCUAGAUUUGACACUUUAUAAAGGGAAGAAGAAGCUCUAUAAAGAAAAACCCUAAUCGAGCAUCUCGCGUUUUAAAUUUUUAUUGUCAUUACAAUAUUACCCUCAAUUACCUUUACUAUUUACCUUUUUUUUUUU